GUUAAAGACCUACAAGGAGUUAUGAAGAAAAUAAAGGUGAAGUCAGAGAAGUAAGUAACUUACCUCAUGGACAACGCAUCAUUGUAGACUUUGAUGAGGUAGGCUGGCUAUAGGCGAAGGGCAAGGAGUACUUGGCGGGUUUAUUGUGGGAUAUUGGCAACGGACGAUAAUUUAUUUCCAAUCAAUUUUGAAAGGUGGUCUGAAAAACAGGCAUCCCUAACACCUACUUUUUUAGAAUGCUUUAAGGAAAUAUUACAGCUUCGAUUUUGUUUUAAGACUACUGAAGCUAUUGCCCAAAGAUAUUGCAAAUUAACUUUGGGUAAGAAGUGGGGCUGCACAUAGACAACGUUUAUGGAAUGAGUUUAUGAUCCAACAAAAACAAAAGAUCAAAUCAUAUGUAAUUUGCCGACCGGUAAUAAGCAAACUCAAUGGGCCAUUUCGUUACCUGUCUAAAACCGGAGACAAUGUACAAGUUUCAUAUUAUUUUCAUUGCUUUUGUGUAUAUUAUUAUUUUGAUUGUUAUGUCAACUUACAAUUGUUUUUUUAUAGGAUAUUUGUAAAAAAAAUAGAGAAAUCGCAAGAAGCAAGUAAUUCCUCAUACUGGUGGCUCUAAACCUAUCUCAAGAAGAAGACAUGAGAUGCUUUUGGAUAGUGGAAAACUGCCUAGUCGUGGAAUGUUUAUAUUGACUCUCAAAAAAAAAAGAUGGCUCAUUUGUAAAUGAGGCGGCAAAGGCUAAGCGGUAAGUUUUACUAUAAUAUGAUAUUUUCAAACAUUAUUUCAAUAUUUAGAUCUUUAACUACAACUUCUUCUAUGCCUCAGACAAAUUGAAGUGGGUUUGAGUCAAAGCACUACUGAUGAAUCACAGGUUUCCCCUCAUGAUGUUGUUGGUAGAGUGUUAGGCCCAGAGCAUUCUGGGAGAGUCGAUGCAUGGUUUGGGAGCAGCUCCUAUCUAACUCAUUCAGAAAUACAAAAUGCGACUUUCAGAUUUAAGCAUGGGUUCAUCUAGUACUGCCACAUCAUCAACAUCUACUAAUCAAUGGGAACAAAAGUACAUGAAUUUAAAGGUGCGCUGAAACAUAAUAUGAUAAUGAAGGAAGGAAAGAUUCCUGAUGAAUUGGCUACCUUCUUUGAUCCUCACCACAACAAGCUCCUGAUGCAAAUGAGCCAGAGUCUCCUUUGGGUGCAAGACAAUCAUCUGAUGGAAGUAACAUUUAGGAAGUUUAUGAUAUUGUUUUAGGAUAAAACUAUACCUAGUUUAUUAUGAAUUGAGUAACAUUUCUUUCUUUGUAACUACUUUUGUAAUGAGAUUACAUUGACUUAUAGUCUAUCUUGAUGUGACUAUAAAAUUGUUUCUCAAUUUAUUUUUCUAAAUUUCUUUC